GGGAGGACAAUGGACGGCCGGCUGGGCCUAAGGCCAAAAGAAAAGAGGCUGAGCUCAAGCCUCUUUUGCUGCUCUUCCUUCUGGGAUCAAGAUCAGGACCAGGAGCGUAUCCAGGCGGCCGGACUGAGAAUGAAAUGAGAGAAGAAUGCAUCACGGAAACAUGGAGGCAGAGCAAAGAAAGGGAAGUCCAGCAAAGGUUUUUUCAGCGCCAUCAAAGUGGAGUUGAGUGUGGCUUGAUGGAACGCCAGACAUGUGCAAAGGCUGGGGCAGGUUCCACAAGGGUCUCUCCAUGUUUGAAUGGCAGAUCCAAGUCAGUCACAAGGCUCUUUCUUUUCCUCUGAGCGCUGAGGGCAGGAUGAGGCCACCUUCCUCCGCUGUGUGAAGAUACAGCACUUUCUUGGCCUUCCAGCUAGAGGCCUUCAUGCUCUCCAUGCUAAUGAGAAAACCUCACAUCUGUUCCUUAAACCAAAGCAAUCUGCUUGCACCCAUGACUGGUGCCUUUCCCCCACCCCUCCCUUGUCUGCCUGAGCUUAUGCACAAGGAAAAAGAAGAGAAACCCUUCAGGUGGGGGGGGGGCAGCAGUAUGUAGCAAGCAGGUGUUUGGCAAAGGUUGCCUCAGACUUGAAGGCUGAACUUGAGUCCAGGAAAGGAGGGUUGAAAUCUCAUCUCUCCAAAAAUGGAAAGAAGAAGAAGUCCCAGCAAAAGAAGGAUGGAUACAAAAACUUAUGGAACAUGGUGAAACUU